rnacentral:misc_RNA from 1 species
UCCGGCUUAUCACCGGCAGUUUCUCUAGAGUGCUCAACUAAAUGGUAGCAACUAAAGACGAGGGUUGCGCUCGUUGCGGGACUUAACCCAACAUCUCACGACACGAGCUGACGACAGCCAUGCAGCACCUGUUCUCAGACCCAUUGCUGGGAGGAAUCCAUCUCUGGAAACCGCCCUGAGAAUGUCAAGAGCUGGUAAGGUUCUUCGCGUUGCGUCGAAUUAAUCCACAUAAUCCACCGCUUGUGCGGGUCCCCGUCAAUUCCUUUGAGUUUUAAUCUUGCGACCGUACUCCCCAGGCGGAUGACUUCACGCGUUAGCUGCGUUACUAAAGGAUUUAACUCCUCCAACAACUAGUCAUCAUCGUUUAGGGCGUGGACUAC